rnacentral:lncRNA from 1 species
GUCCCCAGUCAUCUACAUUACAAAAUGCUCCUCAAAUUUUAAUAUCAAUCAAUGCCUCACAAUAGUUCUACAGAUCUGCAAUAUAUCAUUCCGAUUCUAGAAGUUGAACUUCUGAUGUCAAAAAAUGCAAUUGACUGAACUAUUCAUUUCAUCCCUAAUGCCUAUAUUAGCGAGCACAAUGUAUUAGCAUAUUUUUAUUUCUUUCUUUCCAAAGCUUGUAUCGGUAAAUUUCUCUCUUUUUCUGAGGGAGAUCCAUUC